GCCCUCGUGGUAUAACGGUAGCACACUCGGCGCGUGUUCAAGAGGUCCAGGUUCAAGUCCCGGCGAGGGCA
rnacentral:tRNA from 1 species